UACGGGGGGAGCAAGCGUUGUUCGGAUUUACUGGGCGUAAAGGGCGCGUAGGCGGCCAGCACAAGUCAGUUGUGAAAUCUCCGAGCUUAACUCGGAACGGUCAACUGAUACUGUGCGGCUAGAGUGCGGAAGGGGCAACUGGAAUUCUUGGUGUAGCGGUGAAAUGCGUAGAUAUCAAGAGGAACACCUGCGGCGAAGGCGGGUUGCUGGGCCGACACUGACGCUGAGGCGCGAAAGCUAGGGGAGCGAACGGA
rnacentral:rRNA from 1 species